GUACACAAAAAUGCACAUAUUGUGAGCUCGAUGAGUAGGGCGGGACACGUGGUAUCCUGUCUGAAUAUGGGGGGACCAUCCUCCAAGGCUAAAUACUCCUGACUGACCGAUAGUGAACCAGUACCGUGAGGGAAAGGCGAAAAGAACCCCGGCGAGGGGAGUGAAAAAGAACCUGAAACCGUGUACGUACAAGCAGUGGGAGCCUCUUAAUGGGGUGACUGCGUACCUUUUGUAUAAUGGGUCAGCGACUUAUAUUCUGUAGCAAGGUUAACCGAAUAGGGGAGCCGAAGGGAAACCGAGUCUUAACUGGGCGUUAAGUUGCAGGGUAUAGACCCGAAACCCGGUGAUCUAGCCAUGGGCAGGUUGAAGGUUGGGUAACACUAACUGGAGGACCGAACCGACUAA
rnacentral:rRNA from 1 species